rnacentral:pre_miRNA from 1 species
CCAUGGCUUGAACCCUUUGCUCAUUUCCCUUCUAGCUCAUUCUCUUCUAUUUUCUCUCCAUAUAUUUCUCUCAAAAUCGGAGGAAAAUAAAGAAAAAAGUGUGAAAGAAUCCUUAAAGCUCAGGAGGGAUAGCGCCAUUCAUCAUG